GCCUGGCUGGCUCAGUCAGUGAAGCAUGUGACUCUUGAUUUCAGAGUUGUGAGUUUGAGCCCCACGUUGGGCG
rnacentral:tRNA from 1 species